GUGGAGUUUUCAUGAAGGAUUUUGGGAAAGAGACAUGAGUAGAAAGGGAAACUGUUAGGUCUGGAUGCCACAGGACAUGAUUGUGUAGUAAUAUGGCCUCUGGUCUUGCAACUUGGUGUCUUGAGGUGGAGAAUCAGCAUAGUGGUGAUGAAAAAGAUUGUUUGUUUUCAUGAAUGAAGCUACCAGCCCAAGUUACGAGGCCCAUACAGUAUUGUGGACUAUGGAAGGAGCGUUUCCAAUCUUUGCAUGAGAUGCUUCUGAGUCAAGAACCUGCAGAGAGGACAUGACAAGUA